rnacentral:tRNA from 1 species
AGGGCUAUGGUGUAAUGGUAGCAUGCGGGUCUCCAAAACCUUCGGUAGAGGUUCGACUCCUCUUAGCCCUGCCA